rnacentral:rRNA from 1 species
GACGAACGCUGGCGGCGUGCCUAAUACAUGCAAGUCGAACGCUUCUUUCCUCCCGAGUGCUUGCACUCAAUUGGAAAGAGGAGUGGCGGACGGGUGAGUAACAGGUGGGUAACCUACCCAUCAGAGGGGGAUAACACUUGGAAACAGGAGCUAAUACCGCAUAACAGUUUAUGCCGCAUGGCAUAAGAGUGAAAGGCGCUUUCGGGUGUCGCUGAUGGAUGGACCCGCGGUGCAUUAGCUAGUUGGUGAGGUAACGGCUCACCAAGGCCACGAUGCAUAGCCGACCUGAGAGGGUGAUCGGCCACACUGGGACUGAGACACGGCCCAGACUCCUACGGGAGGCAGCAGUAGGGAAUCUUCGGCAAUGGACGAAAGUCUGACCGAGCAACGCCGCGUGAGUGAAGAAGGUUUUCGGAUCGUAAAACUCUGUUGUUAGAGAAGAACAAGGACGUUAGUAACUGAACGUCCCCUGACGGUAUCUAACCAGAAAGCCACGGCUAACUACGUG